rnacentral:rRNA from 1 species
UACGUAGGGGGCUAGCGUUGUCCGGAAUCAUUGGGCGUAAAGAGCGCGUAGGCGGCCCGGUAAGUCCGCUGUGAAAGUCGGGGGCUCAACCCUCGAAUGCCGGUGGAUACUGGCGGGCUAGAGUGCGGAAGAGGCGAGUGGAAUUCCUGGUGUAGCGGUGAAAUGCGCAGAUAUCAGGAGGAACACCGAUUGCGAAGGCAGCUCGCUGGGACGUUACUGACGCUGAGACGCGAAAGCGUGGGGAGCAAACAGG